AGUUGCCCAGCAAACAGAGAUGCCAGCAAGAUGACUGGAAUGUUCUGAAGGGGCCAGUACAGAGGAUGACCAGGGAAGACACUUUCCAGGAGAGUGAAGACAUCAAUCUACAAAUUCAAGCAAUAAAAGAUGUCUCCAGGCUGAAGGAGCAUGUGGUCUAGUGGGGAAGAUGCACAUAGAUGAGAGGACAGGCAUCUGUGACCCUCAGAAGAACCUUCCUGUUUCACGGGCCUUGUCUGACCAGCAGGUGUACCUGACCCCUGAAAGGCUCUGAGUUUGAAAUCCUUAAAAUGAAC